rnacentral:lncRNA from 1 species
AGAUCACCCAGUCUCCUGUAUUGAGAAUGGAUUUGACCGAGGUGUCAGAAAUUGGGGAAGAUUACUGCCUGAGACAGCACAGGGCAGCGACAGUGAGAGAUGAAGGCAACAUCAGUGUGCGCCAGAGUUUUGCAACUCCACACGCAGUCCAUCAUGGACCAACAACUGCAGCAUCACCUAGGAGCUAUUAGAAGUACAGAAUCUCAG